rnacentral:rRNA from 1 species
AGAGUUUGAUCCUGGCUCAGAAUUGAACGCUGGCGGAAUGCUUUACACAUGCAAGUCGGACGGCAGCACGGGUGCUUGCACCUGGUGGCGAGUGGCGAACGGGUGAGUAAUGCACCGGAACGUAUCCAAUAAUGGGGGAUAACGCACCGAAAGGUGUGCUAACACCGCAUACGCCCUGAGGGGGAAAGCGGGGGAUCGUAAGACCUCGCGUUAAUGGAGCGGCCGAUGCCGGAUUAGCUAGUUGGUGAGGUAAAGGCUCACCAAGGCGACGAUCCGUAGCUGGUCUGAGAGGACGACCAGCCACACUGGAACUGAGACACGGUCCAGACUCCUACGGGAGGCAGCAGUGGGGAAUUUUGGACAAUGGGCGCAAGCCUGAUCCAGCCAUUCCGCGUGAGUGAAGAAGGCCUUCGGGUUGUAAAGCUCUUUCGCAAGGAAAGAAAACUUAUCUCCUAAUACGAGGUGAGGUUGACGGUACCUUGAUAAGAAGCACCGGCUAACUACGUGCCAGCAGCCGCGGUAAUACGUAGGGUGCGAGCGUUAAUCGGAAUUACUGGGCGUAAAGCGUGCGCAGGCGGUUUUGUAAGUCAGAUGUGAAAUCCCCGGGCUCAACCUGGGAACUGCGUUUGAAACUACAAGGCUAGAGUGUAGAAGAGGGGGGUAGAAUUCCACGUGUAGCAGUGAAAUGCGUAGAGAUGUGGAGGAAUACCGAUGGCGAAGGCAGCCCCCUGGGCUAACACUGACGCUCAUGCACGAAAGCGUGGGGAGCAAACAGGAUUAGAUACCCUGGUAGUCCACGCCCUAAACGAUGUCUACUAGUUGUUGGGAGAGUAAAAUCUCUUAGUAACGCAGCUAACGCGUGAAGUAGACCGCCUGGGGAGUACGGUCGCAAGAUUAAAACUCAAAGGAAUUGACGG